UCAUCCCCCCCUCCAAAUCUCCACCCCUAGCGCGGCGGCCUUGGCAACCAGCAGAGGGAAGCAGCGCCGAUCCGCCUCCGCCCUCCCUCCUACAGUGCUCUAGGCCCCCGAUGGCACCGGCGCAUGCUCCUGGAGGCGGCGAUGACGUGACCGUGGCAGAGUGCCCAAUCUGCAUGGAGGAGCUGGUGGACAACAACAACCGUGGACUUGUCACAAGAUUGCCCGGCUGCUUGCACUCCUUCCACGAAAGCUGCAUCGCACAAUGGUUCUGCAGGGCGGCCACGUGUCUGUGCUGCCGGCGCGACAUGCCAACGUACAGUAUGUGCACGUACCCGCUGCCAUCUUACUACCCGGAGAGGGUCAUUACGAUUGCGCUGCCCAUUCCGCGCCGUCCUCAACAAUGAUGAGAUCGUUCCCCUGUACUGCACAGCAGGGCAGUAUGGACAUUGCUCAGAAUCAACCUAUUUCAACAAUGUAUUAUUGUGGUGUAAUUGAACAUUGCUUAGAAUCAAACUAUUUUUCGACAAUGUAAUAUGUCUCUGUGCUUUUUUGAAUUGAAUGAAGACACACAUUUGGUUGUUUAAACCGGA